rnacentral:rRNA from 1 species
AACGAACGCUGGCGGCAGGCCUAACACAUGCAAGUCGAGCGCGCCUUCGGGUGAGCGGCGGACGGGUGAGUAACGCGUGGGAAUAUGCCCUUCUCUACGGAAUAGUCCUGGGAAACUGGGGGUAAUACCGUAUACGCCCUUUGGGGGAAAGAUUUAUCGGGGAAGGAUUAGCCCGCGUUGGAUUAGGUAGUUGGUGGGGUAAUGGCCUACCAAGCCGACGAUCCAUAGCUGGUUUGAGAGGAUGAUCAGCUACACUGGGACUGAGACACGGCCCAGACUCCUACGGGAGGCAGCAGUGGGGAAUCUUAGACAAUGGGGGCAACCCUGAUCUAGCCAUGCCGCGUGAGUGAUGAAGGCCUUAGGGUUGUAAAGCUCUUUCAGCUGGGAAGAUAAUGACGGUACCAGCAGAAGAAGCCCCGGCUAACUCCGUG